rnacentral:lncRNA from 1 species
AAAACAAAAGCCUCUCUCAAUUAGGGCAAGAAACCACAUGGAGCCGACUGUGCAUCUCUCUCUCUCUCGUUCAAUUUCAUCUAAUCUCAUGUUUUCCUCUUCCUCUCAUCUUUCUUGAAGCCCCAAUUCUAUUUCUUACCAUGCUCUUGGUAAUGGGUAGGCGCGGAGCCAGAACCAAAUGGAAUUCCCAAAUUGAAAUCGUCUGGAGACGAAGUGACUAGAGGCGAGAGCAGAAGCAGCAGAACAUGUGGCAAGUUGCGACGGUCGACGAGCUGCGAGUCUCGACUGUCGAGUUGUGGGUGCUAGUUCUUGGGGGUGACGGAGAUGGACUGACGCUAUCACAAACCUCAUGGUGAGUCGCUGAGUUGGUAAGCGCCUUUUAAUUUUCGGCCCUGUUCAAUUUUUCUAUUCGGCGUUAGCCUUGUUUUUGUUUUUUUUUUAAUUAUUGUUUUUGUUCUGUGUUGAGUGUUGAUGGAAGGAAUGGAUUAUGGUGGUUAUACACUAAUUAUUCCAAAAAAGGAUUGUUGAUUUGUUGCCUAUUUUGCCUUUGAUGUCAGUUGAAAUUUGAAACAAGGUCAAUUGACUUUUUAACAACAGCAGGAAUCUUGGCCUUUUAAAAAUAAAUCUUAUUAAAAUGUAAGAUUUAGUUUUAGAAAGCUAACACAAUUUCUCUGAUGGUUUAACUUUCUUCAAAUGAUGCCAAAUUAGGGAAAAAAAACACAGUCCUAAUAUAUUUGUGGGUUUGAUCUUAUUCUUCUUCAAAACUUUAAGGGUUUUGAAUUAAUUGUAAAUUUGAAAAGUUUCACUUUCAGAAUAUGCUUUUAUUUACCUAGUUAAUGUCCAGCGAUGCUUGGCAUGUGAACUGAGUUGUAGGCUUGGGGAGUAAUUACAUGGCCAACUUUUCUAACACAACUACAUAUAGGGUGUUAAGAGGGUAGUGCGGAUGUUGUGACCGUUUUACAUUUUUUCGUUCAUAUUUUCUUUUCCUUGUGGAGAAAAUACUUUUUCACAAGUCUUUUGUGAUUUUUUUUGGGACCUCAUUAUGAACUGAAAUUUACAGUGAUAGGAUAGCUUGUAUUUUUUGGGACCUCAUUAUGAAUUGAAAUUUACAGUGAUAGGAUAGCUUGUCUUCUGUGAACUCAACUAACCUUAAAAUUGCUUUUCAUCAUGCCACCAAAAAUGGAGUACUAGUCUAUGUCAUGUUUUAUAAUCUUUUAUGUUUUGGCAAAUAGUUGUUAAAAUCUAUAGCCUAAAGAGACCGUCGCAAUGGAAGACGACCGUUGCUAAAAUUCUAUCGGAAAUAAGGUGCUGGUGAUGAAAGCACACAAGAAGCUGUAAAUAAGUGAGUUGCACAAUUAAGAAACCUUAUUGUGGUGAGUCUGUUUCCCCUUUAAACUGUAUUAUAUCAUUGAUAGGUUUGCUAUCUUUGACCCUUACCUAUUAUUGUUCAAGCAGGCUGCAAGCAAGAUUAUGAGAAAAAGCUUAGAGUUGAAGAUGCUCUUUGUUGACGUCAAAAUUAGUAAGGCUAAUCUUAAGCCAACUUUAAGAUUAAAGGGCGAUUCAUUGUUGAAAAAAGAUCACAAAAUAUGUUUAGAGAGUGUAAUUAUGCCUUGAGUUGUUGUGUGAAAUCAAUUGCCUUUUACAAGAGUUCUAUUCAACUAUUAAUACAUAGUUUCAGCCGAAAUUACAUCAAAUCAAUACUUGGGUCGCCGAAUUCUCCUGUGAUUGGUCGAUGAGGCCGAUGGUCAUGUGUCAAUGUGUUACCCAGGUAAUAAUGACCUGCAAGGGGCUGGAGUUCGAGGACUUAGAAUUGGUUGUUUCGGGCGGUGAUGAUGUCAGUUGUGGUAAGUGUAUCUGACUGAUAGGGUGAUGUGACAAGGGGUAAUCAUGAUGUUUUUCUGAGAUAACGGCGGGUUUGUCCAACCUGGGAGUAUGGGCCGAACUUACAUUUAACUGAGGUGGGGUUAGCGAACUGUUUUUAUUAGGUCGAAGUUCGAAUGUCAACAGUUACCCCCAGGUCAGUUCUUCCGUAAGAGAGAGCUGACAUUAUGACUUAACUGGUUCUUUUUUCAAGAAAGGUAAUUAUUACUAUGCCAAGUAUCGUGCCUGGAUAGAGAUGAGCUGUGCAGCACUUUUGGAUUGCUUCUCCAAAAAGUUUUAUCAAAACUACGUCGUUUUGACUUGCAAGUUUCUGGGCCGUUUGAUCUUUCCCUCUAUUUUUAGAUGAGCGGUUCAGAUCGUGUCUCUUGAGUUUCUUUUCCCUUAAAUCCCUUUUCAUUUCCUCUUUUCACUGUUUCACUUUGCACGACUCUUCUCUUUCAAAGCUUUUGGGAAAUUUCUUCAAUUCGUAUUCUAUUUUCACAAGUGAGGUCGACAACCUUCAGUUCUUAGGUCUCUCCUAGUUCUUCAUCCAGCUGUCAGGAAGUCUUGAGCCCAGUCCCUCUUUCUGUAGUUAAUCUACUGGACCUAGGAUAUCCUGUGAAUAUGAGGUCGAGGAGUGAGGAUUCGAGGGGAGAAAGGGCUGAAUCUCGCGAGGUCAGUCAAGGGAACAACUCAGGUGAGUGGGGGGCUAGUUUUUAUAAAUCUGUUGAUAUGGGUGAUAUGCUGGUGAGCUAAGUACACCAUUCUGAGUUCGAUGAUCAUGAUAAUGCCAGAACCGUCUGACCGAGUUGACGUUCCCUUGGAGGGAUGCAUUGCUCUUAACUCUGCCAUUCUUCAAGCAG